UGGGGAAUCUUCCGCAAUGGACGAAAGUCUGACGGAGCAACGCCGCGUGAGUGAUGACGGCCUUCGGGUUGUAAAGCUCUGUGAUCGGGGACGAAUGGCUGGUAUGCUAAUACCAUAUCAGAGUGACGGUACCCGAAUAGCAAGCCACGGCUAACUACGUGCCAGCAGCCGCGGUAAUACGUAGGUGGCAAGCGUUGUCCGGAAUUAUUGGGCGUAAAGCGCGCGCAGGCGGCUUCUUAAGUCCAUCUUAAAAAGUGCGGGGCUUAACCCCGUGAUGGGAUGGAAACUGGGAGGCUGGAGUAUCGGAGAGGAAAGUGGAAUUCCUAGUGUAGCGGUGAAAUGCGUAGAGAUUAGGAAGAACACCAGUGGCGAAGGCGACUUUCUGGACGACAACUGACGCUGAGGCGCGAAAAGCGUGGGGAGCAAACAGGAUUAGAUACCCUGGUAGUCCACGCCGUAAAACGAUGAAUACUAGGUGUAG
rnacentral:rRNA from 1 species